rnacentral:rRNA from 1 species
UACGAGGGGGGCAAAUGUUGUUCGGAAUCACUGGGCGUAAAGGGAGCGUAGGCGGGUUCUUAAGUAAGGUGUUUAAUCCCGGGGCCCAACCCCGGACCAGCACUUUAAACUGGGAAUCUUGAAUAGUGGAGAGGUCGGUGGAAUUGGGGGUGUAGCGGUGGAAUGCGUAGAGAUCCCCAAGAACACCAGUUGCGAAGGCGGCCGACUGGACACAUAUUGACGCUGAGGCUCGAAAGCAUGGGGAGCAAACAGG